CGAACGGCUGAGUGGUGUUUAGCUGCCAGCCGGGUUAAACCACAACAGUAAGGACCCACCCACCACUGGGACACCAAGUGCAACUAUGAGGCUUCUGCAGACCUUACAGGGUCACUUCGAAAUAGGAGAAAAUCGGCUGUCGCAGUCGGCUGCUCCUCAGCCUCCAAGCACCGGUGCUGGAGACUGAAGAGACAGGCAAACAAGAAUGAAAUACGAACAGCAAAAAGAAGAGGCAAAAUGUCUGACAGAAAGUACAACAGAUGCCAUCCUAUGUAACUUGCUGCAUCAAUUUGACUCAUAAAAUGGGAA
rnacentral:lncRNA from 1 species